CGCGAGCCUCAUAGCGCGGGUGGAUAACCGAACGCGCUUUCCGUACGAUAAUAACAAAGAGAUAUUUUGCAAGUAUCCAAUUACUGUGACCGAUGAUUCGAUUGAGUACUUGUUUACGAUAAGCUAUUAAGUUAUUAACAAAGUAAUGAUAAAGACUUCCUAAAGGAAGAGACAAAAUCACUAUGUUGCCGCUGAUGAUGAUAGGGCUGUUGCCCCUUGUAUGGGGUGCGCCAGAACCUUGCGAGCGAGCACCGGCGCACGCGCAACCCGCUGAUGCACAUUACAAACUAGGAGUGGCUGGAGAUCCUGAUUUAUAUCUACCGGGUGAACUUUAUUCAGUAUCAUUACAAGGAGUAGACGGUGGACAAGGACCCACACCGUUUAUAGGUUUUAUCAUUUGGGCGGAAUUAGAUCAUGGUUUUAAUUCAAGUGCCAAUACUACUAAUGUAACCUUCAGCAAUGAGUCUCCAGGUACCUUUCAGGCGUAUGAUGCCCAAACAAAGCCCCAUGAAUCGUGUUCGCCCGCGGUGGAUAAUGCCACUGCACACCCAAAGACUGAAAUACAGGUAAUAUGGAAUGCGCCAUCCGGUUCAAUUCAGACGUGCGUACGUCUAUGCGCACGUGCGUUCCACCCUGAUACGGGCGCGGUAUCUUCCCUCGUACGCAAACUUUGCCCCGCUCCCGUUCUACCGGCCACUCCGGAUCGACAGCCCCCCAUUGUGGAGCCCUGCUGCGCUUGUGAUGAAGCUAAGUAUGAGGUAACAUUCGAAGGACUGUGGUCCCGUAACACGCAUCCAAAGGAAUUCCCACCUGAAUCAGCAAGAGCGCAUUUCGGAGAUGUGAUUGGGGCGUCCCAUACUGCUCAAUUCAGGGUGUGGCAAGAGGGUCGAGUGGCCACCGCGGGACUGAGGCGGUUGGCUGAUGAUGGGACCACUACUUCUUUGGAGAAAGAGUUGAAAUCGGAGAGCGAACACAUACGCACUAUAAUCAAAGCUCGCGGCAUAUCCUGGCAACAAGUGGCCGGUACUGGGAUACCUAGUACUUUUGCAGUAUUCAGAGUGGACGCUAAGCACCAUCUAGUAUCGUUGGCGUCUAAGCUAGCUCCUUCACCUGACUGGAUUGUUGGUGUGUCUGCGUUGGAGCUGUGCAAUUUGAAUUGCACUUGGAGACGAUCAGCAGUAUUACCUCUGUACCCUUAUGACGCAGGAACGGAUAGUGGCAUUAGUUAUACAUCAAGACGCAGCCCAACAUUGCCUCCGGCGCCAGUCCGCGCGCUCCGCCCGGAGUGGCCGCGUGAUGUUCGCUCGCCGUUCUACAGCUCUACGGGCGAGAUGCGCCCCUUUGCACGCCUGCGACUUAACCGACUGCGCUUGUAUGAGAAGUCUUGUGAUGUUGCUGAACCUGGCAGUGAGCAAUCUCCCGAGGGUGUGAUCCGCAGUGGUGGGGGCUCCUGUGCCACUCACGCAUGGGGCCCCUGGGGCCCAUGUAGCGUCACGUGUGGUGAAGGCCACGCGGCCCGCCAGCGCCACUAUCUAUGGCCGGCGAGGGCAAAGGCCGACGCUUGUAGGACUCCACUUACUGACUAUAAACGAUGCCAAGGACCCAGGAUGCAUUGCAGAGUUCAAUCGGAGUACGAGCCGGAUCCCGCGGAGUCGUCGGGCCCGUGCGCGGUGUCGGCGUGGUCAGAGUGGUCGCGGUGCGCGGGCUGCGGCGUGCGCGCCCGCACGCGCCACUACCUCGCGCCGCGCGCGCUCAAGCGCUGCCACGUGGGCUUCCGCGCCAGGCUCGUGCUGAGCCAGGCCAUGCCGUGCGAGGCCGGCCCGUGCUUCAAGCCACCGGGACAAUUUGCAAAUGCAUCUAACUACGAUUGGUUCUUUGUGGAUAACCCUCGGGGCGAAUGUGCGGUAUCACCCUGGGGGCCGUGGUCACCGUGUUCCGCGAAGUGUGGGCGCGGUCGCCGGAUCCGGACAAGGUUAUACAUAUCGAAAGAUCCAAGGGUCCAGAAACUGCUUACGAGACGAUUGCUCAGCGACUGGAACCAACGCUUCGCGGAGUUCCAAAACUUGACAUUCCCUGCUGAGAACAUAACGAGUGACAAUCCGAACGUAGAUCUCCUAGUUCAGGAACAUCUAGACCGAUGUCAGUUUACGCUGACUCAGCAAGAGGCUCUUUGCGAUGGUGACGACAGCUCUUGUGAUGCUGGAGUUCCGUUUGAAAUAUGCAAAUUGCCAAUGUCAGUGGGGCCAUGCCGUAGCUACGAAGAGCGUUGGUUCUUCGACUCGACGCGUGGGGCUUGCGAGCCUUUUGGGUACACGGGUUGUGGCGGGAACUCUAAUAACUUUCGCGAUAGGCAGACCUGUGAGAAAGCCUGUGUUGGAAGGAAUGAUACUGGAACAGUUAUUCCCCCAGUAAUGGAGGCGAGCACUAAAAAGCUCAAAGCGACUCCGCCUGCGGUCGACAAUGAGGUGAUACAAAACGAUGCUCCACCGGUUGAUGGUGGUCAGAAGACCUGAAUUGCGAGAUGGGCCCGUGGCUCGGCUGGUCCGAGUGUUUUGGCGAAUGCGAUAUUGCAGUUAAACUUAACUUCAGGCUCGUUAAGCGUCCCGCCUCCGGAUUAGGAAACCCUUGUCAGAAAGUAGUGAAAAGUCGUUCUU
rnacentral:misc_RNA from 1 species